rnacentral:rRNA from 1 species
AUUGAACGCUGGCGGCAUGCUUUACACAUGCAAGUCGAACGGCAGCGGGGGUGCUUGCACCUGCCGGCGAGUGGCGAACGGGUGAGUAAUGCAUCGGAACAUGCCCAGUCAUGGGGGAUAACUACGCGAAAGCGUAGCUAAUACCGCAUACGCCCUGAGGGGGAAAGUGGGGGAUCUUAGGACCUCACGUGAUUGGAGUGGCCGAUGUCAGAUUAGCUAGUUGGUGGGGUAAAGGCUCACCAAGGCGACGAUCUGUAGCGGGUCUGAGAGGAUGAUCCGCCACACUGGGACUGAGACACGGCCCAGACUCCUACGGGAGGCAGCAGUGGGGAAUUUUGGACAAUGGGCGCAAGCCUGAUCCAGCCAUGCCGCGUGAGUGAAGAAGGCCUUCGGGUUGUAAAGCUCUUUCGCAAGGGAAGAAAACGGCAGGGUUAAUACCUUUGUCGGAUGACGGUACCUUGACAAGAAGCACCGGCUAACUACGUGCCAGCAGCCGCGGUAAUACGUAGGGUGCGAGCGUUAAUCGGAAUUACUGGGCGUAAAGCGUGCGCAGGCGGUUUUGUAAGACAGAUGUGAAAUCCCCGGGCUUAACCUGGGAACUGCGUUUGUGACUGCAAGGCUAGAGUACGGCAGAGGGGGGUGGAAUUCCACGUGUAGCAGUGAAAUGCGUAGAUAUGUGGAGGAACACCGAUGGCGAAGGCAGCCCCCUGGGCCUGUACUGACGCUCAUGCACGAAAGCGUGGGGAGCAAACA